GAUGAACGCUCGCUACAGGCUUAACACAUGCAAGUCGCGGGGCAGCAUGGGGGUUGCUUGCAAUCCCCGAUGGCGACCGGCGCACGGGUGAGUAACGCGUAUCCAACCUGCCCUUCACCACGGGAUAACCCGGCGAAAGUCGGACUAAUACCGUAUGUUGUCCAUUGACGGCAUCCGAUUUGGACGAAAGGUUUGGCGGUGAAGGAUGGGGAUGCGUCCGAUUAGCUGGACGGCGGGGUGACGGCCCACCGUGGCGACGAUCGGUAGGGGUUCUGAGAGGAAGGUUCCCCACACUGGAACUGAGACACGGUCCAGACUCCUACGGGAGGCAGCAGUGAGGAAUAUUGGUCAAUGGGCGUAAGCCUGAACCAGCCAAGUAGCGUGCAGGAUGACGGCCCUAUGGGUUGUAAACUGCUUUUAUGCGGGGAUAAAGUGGCCCACGUGUGGGUUUUUGCAGGUACCGCAUGAAUAAGGACCGGCUAAUUCCGUG
rnacentral:rRNA from 1 species